CCUACGGGCGGCAGCAGUGGGGAAUAUUGCACAAUGGGGGGAACUCUGAUGCAGCAACGCCGCGUGAGUGAAGAAGUAAUUCGUUAUGUAAAGCUCUAUCAGCAGGGAAGAAAAUGACGGUAUCUGCGUAAGAAGCCCCGGCUAACUACGCGCCAGCAGCCGCGGUAAUACGUAGGGGGCAAGCGUUAUCCGGAGUUACUGGGUGUAAAGGGAGCGUAGACGGAGGGGGAAGUCUGGAGUGAAAGGCGGGGGCUCAACCCCCGGACUGCUCUGGAAACUGUACGGCUGGAGUGCAGGAGAGGUAAGUGGAAUUCCUAGUGUAGCGGUGAAAUGCGUAGAUAUUAGGAGGAACACCAGUGGCGAAGGCGGCUUACUGGACUGUAACUGACGUUGAGGCUCGAAAGCGUGGGGAGCAAACAGGAUUAGAUACCCUAGUAGUC
rnacentral:rRNA from 1 species